rnacentral:rRNA from 1 species
CAUCCAUCCAAUCCCCACACCGCCGCCACUCCUUUUGUUUUCAGCGUCGAGCCAAUCAGCUUCUUCCUCCCAGAUCCCCUCCUCCCUCGAUUUGCGUUACCGUCCAACCGCUUCCUCCUACCGCGCCCGAGCCUUCCCCUGCCCGAGUCAUGCCUCGUCCCUGGCCCCUCCUCGCCUCACCGUCCGACGACGAACGCCGCCACUGAAGCUCCUCUGCCAUGGACGUCGGGCCCCAAGGCCGUGCCUCUCCUCCUCCUCACCUUCCCCCCUUUCCGUUUUCCCCUGCCAUGGCCUCUCUCCUCACGUCACUCUCUCUGCAGGAGCAGCUACGCCCUGGCCAGGAGCACGCCAGGCGCCAUGGCCGCCGAAGAAACUCUGCGCCGACGCCAUGGACAUCGUGCCCUUGAGCAGCAGCGCUUGAGCGCUCCUCCACCUCGUGCCCCCACCUCGUCAGAUCCGCCACCGGCAGCAGCAGCAACUCCAUCUCGUUGUUUUCCGAACAGGAGGAGCCCCGUCCCCUCCAUGGAUUUGACCACCGCCGCCGGAGUUCAACUCAAUGGCCUCCCCGCGGCCUCGCACGUCCACGUCGCCGACGGCAACAGCAGUAGGGAGCCCGUCAUGGCGUCCUUGAGGUGUUCAGGCAGCAGUAGCGCCUCAAGCUCUCCGCUCGGAUCCGUGCUUCCGCAGCCGCCUGGAGCUCCAACCUCCGCCGGAUCUCACCGUCCCCUCGCCCUUCGACGGAUCCGAGUCCAGGCGCUCGUCCCCGUCUUCCCGGCCUCCUCAGCGCCGGUUGCAGCAUCGAGUAGCAUCCCAGAACGAGACGACCAGCGCUGCCCCCUUGUUGACUUGGUCCAGCGCUACCGUGGACAAGGGCCACAUCGAUCGAGCGGCCCUGCUACUACCUCUCCAGAUCUGGGCUUGGCCCAUGGGUGAGGCAGCCCCCUUGUCCAUGUGCACUUUUGGGCCGGCCAGAUUCAGCCCGGGAUAUUUUUUCCGCAGAACGUUUUUGUCUAUUAUCCGCAGGAUUGCAGUUUUUCAGAAAAGCCCCUAGACAAUAUGCAUAUAAUAACUCACAAACGGUGCAUCAUAUUAAAACAAUUUAUAUAUGAAAGUUUCUUAGUUUUUCAUCUAGUUUCAUUAUAAGUCAUUUUCAUCUAUGUUUAAAAUGUUUAAAAUAUUGUUUGGCUAAAUUUGCUCCUAUGCCAUGUUAAAGUGCUUUAAUUCAUAACUAAUUAACCGUAGCUCCAAAUUUAAUAAACUUUAUAUGUAAAUGGGGUGGAAAAAUUCCUAGUUUAACAUGGUGGCAUUGCUUUGCAUGUUUAACAACUCUAAAAUUUGGUUUAGGGCAGAACAGUACCAUAACUAAAAUAUGCACAUGAGGAUUUUCCGGACUUGUUGCUUGUUGUUCCGGCCACAUUUAAACUUGCCUAGAUAGGUAGUUUUCUCAUGUUUCACCUCUUGCCAUGUUAACCAAAAUUUAAUAUUGUUGGGUACAUAAACAAGAUCAAACUAAAUAAGUCACGUGGUGUUUCGUCAAUAUGCAACGGAGUUGCAUAUUGAGCUCCACUUUAUUUGUAGGGUUGUUUGUGCACUUUGCCAUGCCAUGCCUCAUUAAACCGGACAUGCAUCAUACUUGUUUGCGCAUCGUGCCAUGCUUAUGUGGUGGUUGUUUACUAUGUUGUUUGCUUUCUUUCCGGUGUACUUCGUCUCGGUAAUCCGGUAACGUCGUGUUGUGAGGAUUCAUUUGACUACGUCCGUUUGUCUUCUUCAUGGACUCGUUCUUCUUCCUUGCGGGAUUUCAGUUUGCAGGUGUCGAUGUUACCGAGCAGGUGACGCAAACAAGCUCAAGGAGGAGCUCGAUGAAGAUCUUGUCCUUUAUGUUGUUUCGUUCUAGUUGAUCAGUAGUGGAGCCCAGUCGGGACGAUCGAGGAUCUGUGUAGCUUUGGGGUAGUCUUCUUUUAUUUUGGUUCCGUAGUCGGACCUUGUGUGUAUUUGUAUGAUGUAAUGCUUUAUUCCUGUAAUUGUGUGAAGUGGCGAUUGUAAGCCAACUAUGUAUCUCUUUCCCUUAUGUAUUACAUGGGUUUUGUGAAGAUUACCUCACUUGCGACAUUGCUUUCAAUGCGGUUAUGCCUCUAAGUCGUGCUUCGACACGUGGGAGAUAUAGCUGCAUCGAGGGCAUUACAAUGCAUAGCAAUGAGA